AUACUUACCCUAUUUACUCUUCGAGUACCGGGUAUACAAAUGUUAAACUGAUUUUUACAAUCAGACGGAGUGCUAGGGGCUUGCUCCACCUCUGUCGCGGGUUGGCCCGGUAUUACAGUACCGCCGGAAUUUUCAGCCCAACUUAA